GCGGUCAUGGCGGAAUUGGUAGACGCACUACCUUGAGGUGGUAGCGGGGCGACCCGUGGAGGUUCGAGUCCUCUUGACCGCACCA
rnacentral:tRNA from 2 species